rnacentral:lncRNA from 1 species
CCCUACUGUACACCACACCCUGGCUUCAGAGAAGCUAGAUUUGGAAGGGAGGAGGGGGCAAGGGAUCUAGCCUAGAUCUGACUCAGUGAGGUCAUUGGUGACAUUGCUGAUCUGUGACUCCUUUGGGGUUUAAUGUCCCCAGAGUCACCCUGGGCUGUAACACCAGGGCUGAGAAGGCAUCUGGUAUAUCACUGAUUCAACUAACACCUGCCCCUAAAGGAGGAAACAGAAUAGCAGGAAACAUGAACUGCAGGGAGCAAGCCCUCCAAUGACAUUAGUUCCAUACACAGGCCACUGUGAGCAGGGUCCAUCCUAUCUUGUCUGGGCAGUUCAUUCACUAGGUGUUGAGUCACCAAGACAUCUGGGGAGCUCUCCUCCAGAGAGCAGAGGGACCCUGGAGAGAAGUUCCCAAUCACAUAUACCUAAAUUCACAUGUGUUGAAUUUAUGUAAAAUGAAGUCCUGUGGAAUAUUACUGUGCUGUAAGGAGUAAUGAACAGGAUGAUUACAGAAAGAACUGGAAAGACCUAUGUGAACUGAUGCAGAGUGAAAUAAGCAGAACCAGGAGAACAUCAUACACAGUAAACUAAACAUUGUGGGAUAAUCAAAUGUGAUAGACUUUGCUACUAGCAGCAAUGCAAUGAUCCUGGACAAUUGUGAGGGACUUAUGAGAAAGAGUGCUAUCCACAUCCAGAGAAAGAACUGAGGGAGUAGAAACACAGAAGAAAACAUAUGAUUUAUCACUUGUUUAUUUGGUAUUAUGUUUUGGGGUUUUGGUUUUAUAUGAUUAUUCACUUACAAAAAAGAACUAUAUGGAAAUGUGUUUUGUGUGAUAAUACAUGUAUAAACCAGACUGAAUUGCUUGUUAGCUUUGGGAGGGGAUAGGAAAGAGUGAAGGGAGACAAUUUGGAUCAUAUAACUUCAGAAAAUUGAUGUGAAAAUUUAUUACAUGUAAUUGGUUUUAAAAAAUUAAAUAAUAAUAAAAUGAGGCCUUAUUGUAUUAUCA